rnacentral:rRNA from 1 species
GAGUUUGAUCGUGGCUCAGGAUGAACGCUGGCGGCGUGCUUAACACAUGCAAGUCGAACGAAGCGCUUGAAUGGAAUUCUUCGGAAGGAAGCUCAAGCGACUGAGUGGCGGACGGGUGAGUAACGCGUGGGUAACCUGCCUCAUACAGGGGGAUAACAGUUAGAAAUGACUGCUAAUACCGCAUAAGCGCACAGCACCGCAUGGUGCAGUGUGAAAAACUCCGGUGGUGUGAGAUGGAUCCGCGUCUGAUUAGCUUGUUGGCGGGUAACGG